rnacentral:rRNA from 1 species
GACGAACGCUGGCGGCGUGCUUAACACAUGCAAGUCGAACGGAAAGGCCCUGCUUUUGUGGGGUGCUCGAGUGGCGAACGGGUGAGUAACACGUGAGUAACCUGCCCUUGACUUUGGGAUAACUUCAGGAAACUGGGGCUAAUACCGGAUAGGAGCUCUUGCUGCAUGGUGGGGGUUGGAAAGUUUCGGCGGUUGGGGAUGGAAUCGCGGCUUAUCAGCUUGUUGGUGGGGUAGUGGCUUACCAAGGCUUUGACGGGUAGCCGGCCUGAGAGGGGGACCGGCCACAUUGGGACUGAGAUACGGCCCAGACUGCUACGGGACGCAGCAGGGGGGAAUAUGGCACAAUGGGCGGAAGCCUGAUGUAGCAACGCCGCGUGCGUGAUGACGGCCUUCGGGUUGUAAACCGCUGUCGCCUGUGACGAAGCGUGAGUGACGGUAAUUGGUAAAGAAGCACCGGCUAACUACGUG